AGUGAACGCUGGCGGCGUGCCUAAUACAUGCAAGUCGAACGGCGUGGCGCACGGGGGUGAAUUAUAUAGCUAAUCUGCCCCUUGCUGGAGGAAAACCGAUAGAAAAGACUGCUAAUAAUCCAUAUCCAGGGAUGAGACUAUAUCGUAUCAGCAAGUCGGUGGGGUGACGGCCUACCGAGGCGAUGACGCGUAACUGGGCUGAGGGGAUGAGCAGUAGCAUGGGAACGGAGACACGGUCCAGACUCCUUCGGGAAGGAGCAGAAGGGUAAAGUGCGCAAGGGGGGAGACUCAGGCGCAGCAACGGCUCGUGGAGUAUUACACGUUGCGGAGAAGAAACUCCUUUUGUUAGGGAAGCGGUACCUAACGAAUAAGCACCGGCUAACUCCGUGCCAGCAGCCGCGGUAAUAC
rnacentral:rRNA from 1 species